CGUCAAAUAGGUAUAAGAGGUCCCGCCUGCCCUGUGACUAAAAGUUUAACGGCCGCGGUAUUUUGACCGUGCGAAGGUAGCGUAAUCACUUGUCUUUUAAAUAAAGACCUGUAUGAAUGGCAUAACGAGGGCUAAGCUGUCUCCUUUUUCCAGUCAAUGAAAUUGAUCUGCUCGUGCAGAAGCGAGCAUAAAGACAUAAGACGAGAAGACCCUAUGGAGCUUUCAGACACAAGAACAGCCCACAUCAAAACACCUAGAUGAUUAGGAAAAAAUCAAAUGGCCCCUGUUCCCAUGUCUUUGGUUGGGGCGACCGCGGGGGAACAAACAACCCCCACGUGGAAAAGGACAAAAUCCUUAAACAUCAGACCCACAAGUCUAAAAAACAGAAAUUCUGACCAAAAAGAUCCGGCAAAGCCGAUUAACGGACCCAGUUACCCUAGGGAUAACAGCGCAAUCCCCUUUUAGAGCCCAUAUCGACAAGGGGGUUUACGACCUCGAUGUUGGAUCAGGACUUCCUAAUGGUGCAGCCGCUAUUAAGGGUUCGUUUGUUCAACGAUUAAAGUCCUACGUGAGCUGAGUUUCAGGACAGGGG
rnacentral:rRNA from 1 species